UUAACAUGAUGUCUAAUGAUUUUAAUAAUUCAUCGAGUUACAAUUUGUAUGGUCUUUCUGCGUCGUUUUUGGAGAGUCUUGGCAUAAAUGGACCUUUGCAUAAUAAAGUUUUUGUUGCUAAUCUGGAUUAUAAAGUGGAUGGCAAGAAACUUAAACAAGUAUUUAAAUUGGCUGGUAAGGUACAGAGUGUUGAUUUGUCCGUAGACAAAGAAGGCAACAGCCGUGGAUUUGCUGUAAUUGAAUAUGAUCACCCUGUAGAAGCUGUACAGGCUAUAUCUAUGCUUGAUCGUCAAAUGUUGUAUGAACGUCGCAUGACAGUACGUUUGGAUCGCAUACCUGACAAGGGCGAAGGUAUUAAAUUGCCAGAGGGCUUAGGUGGCGUAGGUAUUGGACUUGGUCCUAACGGUGAACCUUUACGGGAUGUAGCACGUAACUUGCCCAGUAUUAUAAAUCAACAACAAAACAAUCCAACACCACAGCAGAAUCUUCAAACCCAAGUACAGUCUAAUAUGCUUGCUAAUAUGGGCGGUGGCGGCGGCGGUGGUAAUGUUGGAGGCGGCAACAACAGCGGCAUGUAUAAUAAUUCAGGCGUGCAACCAUCACCAGUUGCUCCAGUACAAGGUGGAAACAAACAAGGCAAUAUCUUGGGUAAUAGUGGCGGUGGUCUUAAUUUGGCCGCACUUACAAAUGUUGUAGGUGCACUAUCAAAUCCAUUACUCUCAUCGUCGUUAAGCAAUCUUGGCUUAAAUUUGGGUCAAUCUGUUCCUGGUAACGACGAUUCGAUGUCUUCUGCAAAUGCUGUCAUGUCGAAUAACUACAGCACUGGAGGUGGUAAUAACUAUAGCUCCGGUUACGGUACACCGUCGGGUUUUAAUUCAGGAGCCGGUAAUACCGGUGGAGGUGGAAAUGUUAAUGCAUAUAACAGUGGUGGAGGAGGCGGUAACAGAAGUAAUGUAGGUGGUGGCGGCAGUAUGGAUACUGGCGAUAUUGAUAUGUUUGGCGGUGGUGGCAACGCUAGCAAUAUCAAUCCAAAUAAUCCCCGGAAAUCUGAUACAAUUCUCGUUAAAAAUAUACCAUUAAGUUGCACAUGGCAGACAUUACGCGAUAAAUUCCGUGAUAUUGGAGAGGUUAAAUUUGCCGAAAUUCGUGGCAACGAUUUGGGCGUGGUACGCUUCUUCCAUGAGCGCGAUGCUGAAUCGGCCAUAAAUAUUAUGAAUGGUUCUCGCAUUGAUGGACGUACUAUACAAGUCGCUUAUUACUAUUAAACGAUUUUAAAUAAAAUAUUCGUAUUUAAUUCCUUCUCAAUAUAAGAAUAUUAAUUUUUAAGAAAAACAUUUUUAUAAUAUUGAACCAUUGACAAAAACAAAAUAAAAUAGCAGCAGUUGAAUGCAAUAUGUAACAAGAGAACCAAGAUCACUCUUGGCAAUAUUUCGCC